rnacentral:rRNA from 1 species
CCCGGCGACCGGCGCACGGGUGAGUAACACGUAUGCAACCUGGCCGUGACAGAUGGAUAACCGGGAGAAAUCCCGCCUAAUACAACAUAAUGCCGGGAGGGGACAUCCCCUGCCGGCCAAAGGGGGCGACCCCGGUCACGGAUGGGCAUGCGGCGCAUUAGGUAGUUGGUGGGGCAACGGCCCACCAAGCCGACGAUGCGUAGGGGUUCUGAGAGGAAGGUCCCCCACACUGGUACUGAGACACGGACCAGACUCCUACGGAAGGCAGCAG